rnacentral:rRNA from 1 species
GACGGACGCUGGCGGCGUGCCUAACACAUGCAAGUCGAACGGAGUUGACCUUCGGGUCAACUUAGUGGCGAACGGGUGAGUAACGCGUGAGAAACCUGCCUUUCAGUGGGGGACAACAGUUGGAAACGACUGCUAAUACCGCAUAAUGUUAUUUGGGGGCAUCCCCGAAUAACCAAAGAUUUAUUGCUGAAAGAUGGUCUCGCGUUUGAUUAGCUAGUUGGUGAGGUAACGGCUCACCAAGGCGACGAUCAGUAGCCGGUCUGAGAGGAUGAACGGCCACAUUGGGACUGAGAUACGGCCCAGACUCCUACGGGAGGCAGCAGUGGGGAAUAUUGGGCAAUGGGGGAAACCCUGACCCAGCAACGCCGCGUGAAGGAAGAAGGCCUUCGGGUUGUAAACUUCUUUUACCAGGGACGAAGAACGUGACGGUACCUGGAGAAAAAGCAACGGCUAACUACGCGCCAGCAGCCGCGGUAACAC